UCUAGUUAUCCUGUGUCAUAAGGUCUAUGCUGGUUAUGGGUCUUUCCCUGUUAUUUUCCUUCGAUCCCUUGAAUGAGGUGAUGUCUGUGAACAAUGCAAACAAACUAUGAUUUUUGUAGUCAGCAUUUAAUGAGCAUUUCAUGGGAGAGUCUUUGAGAUGAUGGAAAGACACUGUUUCCUUCAUCCUUUUGUCUGGUAAUGUCAACCUCUGGAUGAUUCUUGGUUGUGUCCCUUACAGUCAUGGUUCCCUCACAAAUGGAGAUGUCCCUGUUAAAGUUGGUUGAAUUGUUGCUCUUUAUCAAACAAUGGGGCAAAAGUAAAAAAGUUCCAACUGCUUGUUUAUCAUCAUCUGGGAAACUAUGAUGAGGGUUAUGAGGUCAAGCUUCCUUAACUGGAGAGAGCCAAAGGUGUAAAGAAGCAAGUGGAGCCCAAACCACACUGGUAGCUCUAGGGACACGCACUCUCAUAUGAACAGACAGCUCCUGCCUACUAAGCUUCUGCUGCCUUUUAGGAUGAGUACUGCCUGUCCACCUCUUCUUUCUUCCUGCUUAUUGGGAACAUUUUGUUUCUACGAAUGUCUGAGCUCCAAAGCAGCAUGACCACAGGACCAAGGGAUUUGCAUGAGAAAGGUCAGUUGUGCCUGGCAGCAGAUUAUCUAUCCAGGCUGGGGUCACACCAUCCUGCUCCUCAUCCUCUGGUGCCAGUAACUCUGCCCAAAUCAGAAUGGGAACCAGGCAUUUGGUGGGGCCCAUAAUGGCCCAAUGGGUUUGUUGCUAGAAGAAUGAGAGAAUCAUUGCUGGGAUGAGGAGACAGAGAGAAGGCAUUACUGCUUCACCCAAACUUGUUCUUUCCUUCCUGACCUGAAUUAUUUCUUUAGGAUCUCCCACUGUGUCCAUUUCCUGUUGUUGCUACAACAAAUUACCUCAAUGCAGUAGCCUAGGGCAACACAAAUUAAUUAUCUCAUCAUUCUGGGAUAACUCACUCUGACUGGACUAGAGUCAUAGCCUAAGUCUGUCUUCUCCUUCAGGUGUGGGGAGAGGGGGGCUUCUUCUUUUAGAGGUACUAGGGCAGAAAGAACUUCUCCCCUGCCUUUUCUGGGUCCAGAAGCUCCUGGUAUUAUUUGGGUAACAAGUCCUUGCUUCAUCUUCAAACUCAGUGGUAUAGUAUCUUCUCUCUGCCUCUGUUUCUGUUGUCAAAUUGCUUUCCUGUGGGCAUUCCUGUUAUAAGAACUGAUGGGUUUUUAGAGCACCCACUAACACAAGUCAAGAUAAUCCCAAGACCGUUAAAUUGCAUGCAUCUACAAAAGUCAGCUAGUAAAGUGCUUGCUGCUUUAGCAUGACUUCCUGUCCUCCAGGAUGUACAUGAAAGUCAAGGAUGGCCAUGAUCAUCUAUGACCUCGGCAUUUGGGGGCCUGAGACAUGCUGAUCUCUGGAGCAUAGUGGCUAGCCAGUAAACAAAAUCAGUGGGUUCCAUGUUCAGGGGGAGAUCCCAUCUCAAAAAACACAAAGGGAAGAGCAACCAAGGAAGACAGAUGUUGGCCUCUGCCCUCUACAUUGCACCUGUACACAUAUGUGCAUGAAUUCUGACACACAUGCACACACAUGUACACACAGACACAAUCCCAUUUUCCAUGUCAGAUAUCAGAGAUUGAUUUGGUGAAGUCACUGGGAGUUCAGGUUGAGCCUCACAUUGUCUUGUGCUCGCUGCUUGGCUUAGUUUACAUUCUGCUGCUGUGAUAAUGAUAGCACAACCAAAAGCAACCUGAGAGAGAAAUUAUGCAUUUGCCUCACAUGUCCAUACUGCAGGGCAUCAUUGAGGAAAGUCAGGGCUGGAACUCAAGACAGGAACCAGGAGGCAGGAAUUGAAGCAGAGACCACGGAAGAACAGUACUGGUUUGUUUGACUUUUUUUUCCACAUGACUUGCUCAGCUUGUUUUUUGUUUGUUUGUUUGUUUGUUUGGUUGGUUGGUUGAUUGGUUUUGUUUGGUUUUGUUUGGUUUCAUUUGGUUGGCUGGGUUUUCUUAUACAACCCAUCCAGGUUGUGGUACUACCCACAAUGACCUGGGUCUUCCCACAUCAAUCAUUCAUUAAGGAAAUGCCCUACAAAUUUGCCUUCAGGCAAAUAUGAUGGAUGAAUUUUCCCAAUUGAGGAUCCUUUUCCCAGGCAAUUCUAGCUGGUGUUAUGUUGACAAAACCCACCAGGGACGCUGCUUUAACAGAGGAUGAAAAUCGCAGUGGCUUAAAUACAAGGUGUGGAUUUAAUUCUCUUUCACAUGCAGUUCAAGGCCCUAAUUUCCCCAACACCAUCCUGAACAUUAGCAUCAAGGCUAUUUUCUUUUUCACUCAAUCUUCCUUCCUUCCCUUCUUCUUCCUUCCUUCUUUCCUUCCUUCCUUCUUUCUUCUUCCUUUCUCUUCUUAUUUCCUUCCCUCUUUUUCUUCUUCCUUCUGCCCGCCCACCCUCCUUUCUUUCUUUCUUUCUUUCUUUCUUUCUUUCUUUCUUUCUUUCUUUCUUUUUUCCUUCCUUCCUUCCUUCCUUCUUUCUUUUUCUUCUUUCCCUUUCCUCUCUUUCUCUCUCUCUCCCUCUCUCCUUCCCUCUCUCUAUACUACAUCAUUUAUGUGAGGUCAGAGGAUAACAUUCAGAAGUUGGCUAUUUCUAUAUGGGACCCAGGGACUGAAUACAGGUUAUGAGACUUAGUGGUCAAAUAUUUUUGCCCACUUGAGCUACCUCAAUGGCCCUAUGCUUUCAAUCUUCUAUUUUCUUUUCUGUUGUUUUUUUUUUGGGGGGGGGAUGGAUUGGAAUUAAGGCCUAGCCUCAGACCUCUGUGUAGCUGAGGAUGACCUUGGGCCCCAGUUGCUCCUAUGUGUAUCUCUCAAAUGUUGGAAUUACAACUUGGUACCACGAAAUCAAGCUUUUUAAUUUUUUAAAACCUGUGUCUCUAUCCCCAUCACUUUUUUCAAUGGUUUGAUGUGUCUACUUCUGCUCCACUAUCAUGCCUGAAUUCCAUACAGCAGGAAGAUGCAUGGGAAGGGGUUUGCAAAGCCUUUCUUUGGCUUGUAUCAAGUCAACUCACAAGCUGUUAGUCAUGUGGCUGUAGCCAGCUCAAGGAAUGCCACAAAGUGGCUGGAACCAUGUGUCUAGAUAAAAUGUCGCUAAGUAGGAAGUAGAAAGGAAAAAGAAAUGUACCCACCAAACAGGCAAGAGGGCAUAAGGGACUUCUGUCCAAUUUAAUUGGUGAAAAGGAACAAACCAAGCAAGAUGUGAGGUUUAUCCAUGACUUCCUUCAGAUCUAGAUCCAUCUAACGAGAGGAUUCAAGGUCAACUCUGAGAGGGCCAGAUGGACAACCUACUUCAGCUAACUGACAUCAUCCCCACAUGUACCGUGGCUAGGUGGAAAGCUGAGAAUGACAUCAUGGACUGUGGGUGAUCUUGUGAGCAGUCAAUGAAACAGCAUUUGUGAACAACCCCAACCAAAGUCUAACAUAUAGUUGGCACCAAAACUAUGUGGUUGCAGUGUCCACCUACUCAUCCAUUGACGCUCACAGCAAUUUCUCAAAUCCUAGAGACAGGUGUGGUUGAAUGCGUUUUGUACAAGGCGGACGAGACGGCAGAGACGCUCACUGCGCUCGUCCUGUAGAGACCCACAGGCUCUCUGCUGGGUCUCCUGCCCUGCCUGGGAGCUGCAGCUGCCUUGCGUGGGUGGUACAUCCUGACUGGACCUCCCCACUGCUCUCCCCACAGAAGAAACAAGACAGAGCAGCUCCCUGGCUGUGUGAGGUCAAACUAGAUUAGAGGUUCUUUAUUCUCCAGCAUCCCCAGUGGUUGAGCCCCUCUGAAUGAACUCUCUGGCAUGAACUUGCUUACAAAAGGAAGACAUUUCAACAGGGAAGCAACUUCCAGCUCUCACAGUUCGGAGUUCCGGAUCAUUGGCUUUCCUGACCUUGCAGAUGGCUGGGGCUGUCUUACUGUGCUGGGCUGAUGUCCACAAGUACUAGCCCUGAUUACACAGAGAGUCGGCGUC